CCUACGUGAGGCAGCAGUGAGGAAUAUUGGUCAAUGGACGCAAGUCUGAACCAGCCAUGCCGCGUGCAGGAAGACGGCUCUAUGAGUUGUAAACUGCUUUUGUACGAGGGUAAACGCAGAUACGCGUAUCUGUCUGAAAGUAUCGUACGAAUAAGGAUCGGCUAACUCCGUGCCAGCAGCCGCGGGAAUACGGAGGAUUCAAGCGUUAUCCGGAUUUAUGGGGUUUAAAGGGUGCGUAGGCGGUCGGAUAAGUUAGAGGUGAAAUCCCGAGGCUCAACUUCGGAAUUGCCUCUGAUACUGUUCGGCUAGAGAGUAGUUGCGGUAGGCGGAAUGUAUGGUGUAGAGGUGAAAUGCUUAGAGAUCAUACAGAACACCGAUUGCGAAGGCAGCUUACCAAGCUACUUCUGACGUUGAGGCACGAAAGCGUGGGGAGCAAACAGGAUUAGAUACCCUUGUAGUC
rnacentral:rRNA from 1 species